rnacentral:rRNA from 1 species
UACGGAGGGAGCUAGCGUUGUUCGGAAUUACUGGGCGUAAAGCGCACGUAGGCGGAUACUUAAGUCAGGGGUGAAAUCCCGGGGCUCAACCCCGGAACUGCCUUUGAUACUGGGUAUCUCGAGUCCGGAAGAGGUGAGUGGAAUUCCGAGUGUAGAGGUGAAAUUCGUAGAUAUUCGGAGGAACACCAGUGGCGAAGGCGGCUCACUGGUCCGGUACUGACGCUGAGGUGCGAAAGCUAGGGGAGCAAACAGG